ensembl:lncRNA
CAGAGAGAGAGAGACCGAGAGACACACUCUCUAUCUGUCUGUCUCUCUCUCUGUCUCUCCCGCCCGCCCUUCCUCUCUCUCUCUUUCUCUUUCUCUCUCUGUCUCGCUCUCUCUGUCUCUGUCUCUCUCUAUCACCCCCCUCUCUAUCACCAAUCUUGAACCGGGCUGGUAAGGGUUAUGGAGGAAGACAGCAGCUGCCUGACAACCUGAAGCAGCUGUUCAGGCCCGUGGUCAUGUCCCGAACAGACAUCGAGCUCAUCGCUGAGGUCAUCCUCUAGUCGGAUGGCUUCAAAGACAAAGAGAUACUGGGACGCAAGCUGGUCUCCAUCUUCAACCUCACCAGGGGGGUCUGCUGGUGCAGGCAUUGAGGUUGAACACCAUGUCCAAGCUGACAGCAGCAGGUUGGAUGCCCUUGGCCAAGACGUGUUUUCCCUGGGGUGGGCUUCACUGACGUGGAGGACAAUACCCUCAGCAAUGCCCUGCCGGCCAUCUACGAGGAGGCACGCCUCAAAUUCAUACCCAGUCAGUGAUGAGGACACAGAUGUGAGUGCGUUGGUCAAGUCGUGGCUGAAGGGUCAG